rnacentral:miRNA from 1 species
CACUUGCUUACAGUUUCUGUGG